AACGAACGCUGGCGGCAGGCUUAACACAUGCAAGUCGAACGCCCCGCAAGGGGAGUGGCAGACGGGUGAGUAACGCGUGGGAAUCUACCCAGUUCUACGGAACAACUGAGGGAAACUUCAGCUAAUACCGUAUACGCCCUACGGGGGAAAGAUUUAUCGGAAUUGGAUGAGCCCGCGUUGGAUUAGCUAGUUGGUGAGGUAACGGCUCACCAAGGCGACGAUCCAUAGCUGGUCUGAGAGGAUGAUCAGCCACACUGGGACUGAGACACGGCCCAGACUCCUACGGGAGGCAGCAGUGGGGAAUAUUGGACAAUGGGCGCAAGCCUGAUCCAGCCAUGCCGCGUGAGUGAUGAAGGCCUUAGGGUUGUAAAGCUCUUUCAGUGGGGACGAUAAUGACGGUACCCACAGAAGAAGCCCCGGCUAACUUCGUGCCAGCCGCCGCCGUAACAC
rnacentral:rRNA from 1 species